GUGCUUGUCUUGCAGGCCAGCUGCUGUGCAGUCGCCACCCACUUGUGAGUCGCUGAUAAUGCGGGUGGACGCAUGGUAUGACUUCAAGGCCGAAGCCAUGCACAAAUUGUAAACAUGGCUGUCAA